rnacentral:rRNA from 1 species
GAUGAGCGCGGGCGGCGUGCCUAAUACAUGCAAGUCGAACGCUGGAGAUCUAGCUUGCUAGAUCGAAGGAGUGGCGAACGGGUGAGUAAUACAUAAGCAACCUACCCACGAAGACUGGGAUAAUCUCUGGAAACGGGGACUAAUACCGGAUAGGUAAUCGGAAGGCAUCUUCUGAUUAUUAAAGGUUAAAAACACUGGUGGAUGGGCUUAUGGCGCAUUAGUUAGUUGGUGAGGUAACGGCCCACCAAGACGAUGAUGCGUAGCCGGCCUGAGAGGGUGAACGGCCACAUUGGGACUGAGACACGGCCCAGACUCCUACGGGAGGCAGCAGUAGGGAAUUUUCGGCAAUGGGGGAAACCCUGACCGAGCAACGCCGCGUGAGUGAUGACGGCCUUCGGGUUGUAAAGCUCUGUUGUAAGGGAAGAACGGUAGAUAGAGAAUAUCUAAGUGACGGUACCUUACCAGAAAGCCACGGCUAACUACGUGCCAGCAGCCGCGGUAAUACGUAGGUGGCGAGCGUUAUCCGGAAUUAUUGGGCGUAAAGGGUGCGUAGGCGGCCUGUUAAGUAAGUGGUUAAAUUGUUGGGCUCAACCCAAUCCAGCCACUUAAACUGGCAGGCUAGAGUAUUGGAGAGGCAAGUGGAAUUCCAUGUGUAGCGGUAAAAUGCGUAGAUAUAUGGAGGAACACCAGUGGCGAAGGCGGCUUGCUAGCCAAAGACUGACGCUCAUGCACGAAAGCGUGGGGAGCAAAUAGG